rnacentral:rRNA from 1 species
UACGAGAGCCUCAAGCGUUAUCCGGAAUUAUUGGGCGUAAAGGGUGUGUAGGCGGUAAUGUUAGUCUCAUGUCAAAGCCUCUGGCUUAACCAGAGAUCCGCAUGGGAAACGGCAUAACUAGGAGGGUGCGAGAGGUGAAUGGAACUCAUGGUGUAGGGGUGAAAUCCGUUGAUAUCAUGGGGAACGCCAAAAGCGAAGGCAAUUCACUGGCGCAUACCUGACGCUGAGACACGAAAGCCAGGGUAUCGAAUGGG